AUUGAACGCUGGCGGCAGGCCUAACACAUGCAAGUCGAACGAGUGGCGGACGGGUGAGUAAUGUCUGGGAAACUGCCUGAUGGAGGGGGAUAACUACUGGAAACGGUAGCUAAUACCGCAUACCAUCAGAUGUGCCCAGGUGGGAUUAGUUUGUUGGUGGGGUAAAGGCUCACCAAGGCGACGAUCCCUAGCUGGUCUGAGAGGAUGACCAGCCACACUGGAACUGCGACACGGUCCAGACUCCUACGGGAGGCAGAAGUGGGGAAUAUUGCACAAUGGGGGCAAUCCGGAUGAAGCCAUGCCGCGUGUAUGUAGAAGGCCUUCGGGUUUUAAAGUACUUUCAGCGGGGAGGCGUUACCCGCAGAAGAAGCACCGGCUAACUCCGUGCCAGCCGCCGCGGUAAUUC
rnacentral:rRNA from 1 species